rnacentral:rRNA from 1 species
UGUAAGCGUAUACCAAAGUUGUUGCAGUUAAAACGCUCGUAGUCGGAAUUUGGCAGUUCCGGAUGUGUGCACGUCGUGUGCGCACUUCGCGGGGAUUGCUUUUGUGGUCUUGCGUAGGAUGAGGCACUUUUAUUAGUGAACGUCCUCACGCAACCACUUUUUACUGUGAGAAAAUCAGAGUGCUCAAAGCAGGCAUUUGCCGUGAAUGUAUUAGCAUGGAAUAAUAGAAUAGGACUUGGUUCUAUUUUGUUGGUUUGUCGGGACUGAGUAAUGAUUAAGAGGGACUGUUGGGGGCAUUUGUAUUUCGGUGCUAGAGGUGAAAUUCUUAGAUUACCGAAAGACAAACUGCUGCGAAAGCGUCUGCCAAGGAUGUUUUCAUUGA